ensembl:lncRNA
ACGAGAUCAUAGUAAAACCUUUUUAAUUUCUGCCCUGGUAUUUAACGAACCCUCUUUUUGUUUCUGAAGAAUGGCAACAUGUUUCAUUAUUUUUCAGGUCUACUUAUAAUCUAACCACCACACAACUCAUUGAACUACAACCAUCUCAACAAGUAAAUCUCUCCGACUCUCUCCCCUUGCUGACUGCUACAUAUGCUGCCCUCGGGUGUGUUAUGUAUCCCACAAUGCAAUGGGAGCUUCCUCCAGCCAUCGGGUGUCUUUCGGAGAAAUGAAGAGAUGAACAUCCAUUCCGCCGAGUGUCUCAACCAGCCCUCGGAGGAACACGAAGGCUUGUGUUCUGGGCUUGUGUACAUGGGCUUCAGACAAAAGGCUGAGCCAGAAGCUUCAUAAGCCAGUUUGACAGUUCCAACCUGAGCACAUACAGCUGACCUAGCCAGAGAGACCUGGCCUUCCCUCUGGGUUCUUCUACUACUCGUGAUCAUUUUCAAGGAUUUGAAUACACGAGAAAGCAUCUCACUGCUUCAGGAAUCAUCUCUUUCUCUAAAUUUAUGACCUCUAGGGGGUCCAGGACACAAUUCUGGGGUGCCUCUCUCUACAUAUUAUGACAAGAAUGAACUUAAGAGAACAGAGAAUUCUCUUCUCUUACCCUACACAGGUAAGGGGAUCAUAUGAUCUUCCUCUUUCAUUUUUUUAAACAUCAAACAAAAUCUUGGCCAUUCACUGUAACUAGAAGCAUCAAAGGGGAAUCUUGG